UACGUAGGGUGCGAGCGUUGUCCGGAAUUACUGGGCGUAAAGAGCUCGUAGGUGGUUUGUCGCGUUGUUCGUGAAAACCGGGGGCUUAACCCUCGGCGUGCGGGCGAUACGGGCAGACUUGAGUACUGCAGGGGAGACUGGAAUUCCUGGUGUAGCGGUGGAAUGCGCAGAUAUCAGGAGGAACACCGAUAGCGAAGGCAGCUCGCUGGGACGGUACUGACGCUGAGGUGCGAAAGCGUGGGGAGCGAACAGG
rnacentral:rRNA from 1 species